ACCAGAUUACACAGACAUGGUUUCACCAGAAUCUUACAGAACUCUCAGAGACUUAAAAAAUUUAUAGACCGGUCAGUCUCCAAGAGCCUUAGUAACACAGGUAAAAACCUUUGUCCAUGAUCUCUGAUCCAGGCUAUAUACCACAAUUUAAAAGAACAGAACACAUAUAAUGUGAGACAUAGAAGACACAAAACAUAUGCAGUAGCUGAAU